CGCUGUGAAGAUGCAGUGUACCCGCGGCAAGACGGAAAGACCCCGUGAACCUUUACUAUAGCUUGACACUGAACAUUGAGCCUUGAUGUGUAGGAUAGGUGGGAGGCUUUGAAGCGUGGACGCCAGUCUGCGUGGAGCCGACCUUGAAAUACCACCCUUUAAUGUUUGAUGUUCUAACGUGGAUCCGUAAUCCGGGUUGCGGACAGUGUCUGGUGGGUAGUUUGACUGGGGCGGUCUCCUCCUAAAGAGUAACGGAGGAGCACGAAGGUUGGCUAAUCCUGGUCGGACAUCAGGAGGUUAGUGCAAUGGCAUAAGCCAGCUUGACUGCGAGCGUGACGGCGCGAGCAGGUGCGAAAGCAGGUCAUAGUGAUCCGGUGGUUCUGAAUGGAAGGGCCAUCGCUCAACGGAUAAAAGGUACUCCGGGGAUAACAGGCUGAUACCGCCCAAGAGUUCAUAUCGACGGCGGUGUUUGGCACCUCGAUGUCGGCUCAUCACAUCCUGGGGCUGAAGUAGGUCCCAAGGGUAUGGCUGUUCGCCAUUUAAAGUGGUACGCGAGCUGGGUUUAGAACGUCGUGAGACAGUUCGGUCCCUAUCUGCCGUGGGCGCUGGAGAACUGAGGGGGGCUGCUCCUAGUACGAGAGGACCGGAGUGGACGCAUCACUGGUGUUCGGGUUGUCAUGCCAAUGGCACUGCCCGGUAGCUAAAUGCGGAAGAGAUAAGUGCUGAAAGCAUCUAAGCACGAAACUUGCCCCGAGAUGAGUUCUCCCUGAGACUUAGAGUCUCCUGAAGGAACGUUGAAGACGACGACGUUGAUAGGCCGGGUGUGUAAGCGCAGCGAUGCGUUGAGCUAACCGGUACUAAUGAACCGUGAGGCUUAACCUUACAACGCCGAAG
rnacentral:rRNA from 1 species